CAGCCCCACGGUCACCGUGGUCACACUGACCCUGUCCUCGGGGGCGAGGCUGAGCUGAACCACUUCUGCAGAGGGAAAGGAGGAGGCAUGGUCAGGUGCAGGCCCAGGGAGUGGAGUCUCAACUCAAGAUGCUGAGGCGCCCCGCCCUGGGCUCACAACGAUGAACCAGAUACGCUAGGUGCUUCAUCAGUGCUGUUGGAUGGAUGGAUGAGAAACGGAGAAAAUGAAAUAAAGAAGUAAAAGAGCCAACAGGCCGGUGGGGAGGGGACAAGUGACUCACGGUGAAGGAACCCUCGAGGAAAGAUAAGCACCGAGUGAUGGAUGCAGACGCAACUGGCAUAGUAUUUUACCAACAUUAAAGUGAUGCAUUUCAAGUUCCCCCUUAAAUCAAGUUCUGCUCGCUACCCUCCCACCUCCAAGUCAUGAGGCUUAUUGCUCAGGGGAGGAGAAGGCACUAACUCUGUAGCAAGACCCUGGCUUUGGAGAGGGGAAAGAGAGAGAGUGAGAAUGUGCUAAAAUGGUUUAGCUCCCACCGUACUCUGCAGGUCAGUAGGACUCAGACCUCAGCAUUCCCCCCAGGAGAAGAGGAGGUAUCCUUUCCUCAUCAGAUGAUCAAGAGGCUCCCCUGGGCCACGAGGCUUUGUGCCACUGCUCCUGCCACCUGGGGCAACCCCAUGUGUCUGGGCAGAGCCAGAACCACCUUGGCUCCUGGUAUGGAAACAGGCCCAAUUUUCCCAGAUAGCUGAAGCUUGAGAAACUUCUAUUUGUUUUAUCUGAGUUCUUUUAACAGGAAACCAACCACCAGGCCUCUAGAUUACUGCAGCUGGACAAUGAGACACACACCUGCUGCCUGUUGACCAUCUCCUGUCUUACCCCUCCCUAAUUCCCCGCUAUCUAAACUCCGAACUUUAGUCAGAGAGAUGGAUUUGUGACUGGUCUCCCAUUUCCAAGCUGAUGUCACUGAGAUUAAAGUCUUUCUUCCCUGGCAAUACUCAUCCACUCCGCGAUGGACUUUCUGUGAGGUGAGCAACCAGACAUAGGCCGAACCCCUGCUGUUCAGCAACAUGAUCUCUGUACCUGAGAACUGCCUUGGGCUGCCAGACCAAGGUCCAAAGGGAAGUGCCCCUAGCCUCAAGGGGCGUGGAAGCCAGUGGUGGCUGUGGGGGGCCUCGCUUGGGGGAGCCUCCUGACCCCUGAGUCCACCAGGCUGUGAGCCCAGAUCAUGAGCACACCCAGGGCUGAGCUCAGCUUCGAGUGACCUCAGACAGGGCAACCCAGAGUCCCUUGCCAUGGGAAGUGAGGCUGCAGUGCACCACCACGCUGCUUCCCUGGGCACUCAGAAGCCAGUGAGGAGAGCAGCUGGGACCAGGGUGGAGGGGGGGCAGGGGGGACGGGUGGAAGCUACAGACACAGAGCAGUUUUUAGAGCACUAAAUACGUGGACUGUUAAAACUGUCAGCUCGUGCUAAUCUUUACAAUGGAUUGAGCGUUUAGUUGUGUUUUUCUCCCAAUGGGGUGAGGCUUGUGAAGUCAGGUUAGUUACAAAAGGAACCUAGAUUUUCCCUGCACAUCUUAUCUGUGGUCAGACUUGAAGGAAAAGACCAAUUGGGCCUUCGGGGAGGGGCUUGGAGGCCACAGCAGGGCUUCCCCUGGGCCCUAGAGAUCCGCUUCUCAGGUGUGGCUUCCUGGCCACCUGUAUCAUAUCUCUGGGGGUAGGUAAUUAAAACACAGAUUCUUGCCCCUCUACCUCAGGCUGAUGCAGACUCUCUGGUGGGCUGGGUGGACAUCCAGAUUUUAACAAGCAUCCCCAGGGGUUCUGUGGUGGCCUGAGAACCACUGUGUUACAAGAUGAGAAGGGCUCUGGGUACAUAGAGAGGGGGAAUGCAGGUGGGAGACAGGGAGACGAGGCAGUCUGGUAGGCUGUGGUUUCCUGGGGCUCCAGACACAAGGCUAGGAGCGUGGCCCCUCAUUUGGAACACGGGACUGAUGUGAAAGGUAGUAUGCCCUCCUCCAUGUGGCCCCAAAGUCAUAUAUUCCAAGCAGCUCUAGAAAAAGGUCUGCGGGAGCCUCAAACAUGGGGCUAAUAGGAAACAAAAAUCCAAGUGGGAGAUGGAAGCCGCCUGUGUCCCUCUGGUCCUGUGCCGGCUGGGAUAACUGGCUGCUGCAUCCUCUCUGAGUUAUUCCCAGUCAUUUGUAUGUAGAAGAUGUGCACUUUGCACAGGAAAAACUCAUGCAAAAUUAGAAUGUGUGAAUACUGAUAGAACCAUCGUAAUUCUGCUCCUGUCAGCUACGUGAAUAUUAACCAAACAGCAAAUAUUUGGAUCACUUAAAGUUUAAUUAAAUGAAUGUUUUAUUGGA